AUACGGAGGAUGCGAGCGUUAUCCGGAUUUAUUGGGUUUAAAGGGUGCGCAGGCGGCGAGUCAAGUCAGCGGUCAAACUGCGGCGCUCAACGCCGUACCGCCGUUGAAACUGGCGCGCUCGAGUUUGUGCGAGGAUGGCGGAAUGCGCAGUGUAGCGGUGAAAUGCAUAGAUAUUGCGCAGAACUCCGAUUGCGAAGGCAGCUGUCCAACACACUACUGACGCUCAUGCACGAAAGCGUGGGUAUCGAAUAGGAUUAGAUACCCUGGUAGUCCACGCGGUAAACGAUGAUAACUAGUUAUCCGGCCAGAUUGAUGGGUGGGUGACCUAGCGAAAGCAUUAAGUUAUCCACCUGGGGAGUACGCCGGCAACGGUGAAACUCACAUGAAUUGACGGGU
rnacentral:rRNA from 1 species